CAUUUCGUGAGUUCUGCUGAGCGAUCACGUGGUCCAUCCAUUUCAAACAGUGAGACGCGAGUUCUGCAAUAAACCGAUAUCUCAGAUGAUAGUUCCGUUUUGUAGAAAUUCUGAGAUCCGUUUCUUGGUGUGUUUUGAUGUUUUCUGUUGGCUGAAGAUGAGUCACAUUCAACAGCUUCACUGAUUCAUUGAGUUGUGACUCUCUGGAGUUUCGGAGAUCACUGAUAGCCUUGAGGACUAGAUCCUGACUUGGCACUGGAGAUGAUGAGUUGAACUGCAAUGUGCUUGUAACCACUGCUGAACCAGAUCUGCAAAGGAAACUGGAGGAGUUGGGUUGCAGAGGUGCUUUGCCAGGCUCAUUCAGAAGAGUGUUCACCUGCAGGGAAUAAAAUCAAACCAUUUAUCAAACUCUGAAGAAGAUUUGCAGUGGACAGACGCUCGUUCAUUGGG